rnacentral:rRNA from 1 species
GAUGAACGCUGGCGGCGUGCCUAAUACAUGCAAGUCGAGCGAACAGACGAGGAGCUUGCUCCUCUGACGUUAGCGGCGGACGGGUGAGUAACACGUGGAUAACCUACCUAUAAGACUGGGAUAACUUCGGGAAACCGGAGCUAAUACCGGAUAAUAUAUUGAACCGCAUGGUUCAAUAGUGAAAGACGGUUUUGCUGUCACUUAUAGAUGGAUCCGCGCCGCAUUAGCUAGUUGGUAAGGUAACGGCUUACCAAGGCAACGAUGCGUAGCCGACCUGAGAGGGUGAUCGGCCACACUGGAACUGAGACACGGUCCAGACUCCUACGGGGGGCAGCAGUAGGGAAUCUUCCGCGAUGGGCGAAAGCCUGACGGAGCAACGCCGCGUGAGUGAUGAAGGUCUUCUGAUCCUAAAACUCUGUUAUUAGGGAAGAACAAAUGUGUAAGUAACUAUGCACGUCUUGACGGUACCUAAUCAGAAAGCCACGGCUAACUACGUG